AAAGCUCGUAGUCUAUUUCCUGUUCCCCUGAGUAAAACUUAGUGUAUAAGGCUGGUGGUUGUUUUAAGGUAUCUACGUGGCAUUACAAAUACUUUUGUUAAGUAAGAGGAACGGUCGGGGGCAUUCGAACCUUUCACAGCAAGAGGUGAAAUUCAGAGAACUGCGGGUGAUGAUCGUUCGCGAAAGCACAUGUUAAGUACGCUUUUAUUGAUGUAAGGCAAAAGUUUGGGCAUCGAAUACGAUUAGAUACCGUAUGUAGUCCUUACUAUAAACUAUGUCGACCGUGAAAAGGAGUGUAUUGUAUCAUUGGACAUUUCUGAACUUUGUGAGUAAUCAGAGUCUGGUUCCGGGGGGAGUAUGGUUGCAAGGCUAAAACUUAAAGGAAUUGACGGAAGGGCACUACAAGGCGUGGAGCUUGCGGCUUAAUUUGACUUAACGCGGGGAAACUUACCAGGAUCAGACGCUUAAUGGAUUGACAGUUUGAACGAGCUUACAUGAUUGGGUGGAUGGUGGUGCAUGG
rnacentral:rRNA from 1 species